UACGUAGGGCGCAAGCGUUGUCCGGAAUCAUUGGGCGUAAAGAGCUCGUAGGCGGCCUGUCGCGUCUGCUGUGAAAUCCCGGGGCUCAACCCCGGGCGUGCAGUGGAUACGGGCUGGCUAGAGGCAGGCAGGGGGAGAACGGAAUUCCCGGUGUAGCGGUGAAAUGCGCAGAUAUCGGGGAGGAACACCGGUGGCGAAGGCGGUUCUCUGGGCCUGUACUGACGCUGAGGAGCGAAAGCGUGGGGAGCGAACAGG
rnacentral:rRNA from 1 species